GCCAGGGUGGUGUAGUGGCUAGCGUAUCAGGCUAGGACCUGGGAGUCCUGAGUUCAAAUCCCUGCCUAGCCA